rnacentral:rRNA from 1 species
CCUACGGGUGGCAGCAGUGGGGAAUAUUGGACAAAGGGGGCAACCCUGAUCCAGCCAUGCCGCGUGUGUGAAGAAGGCCCUCGGGUUGUAAAGCACUUUCAGUGAGGAAGAACGCCUGGUGGUUAAUACCCAUCAGGAAAGACAUCACUCACAGAAGAAGCACCGGCUAACUCCGUGCCAGCAGCCGCGGUAAUACGGAGGGUGCGAGCGUUAAUCGGAAUUACUGGGCGUAAAGCGCGCGUAGGUGGCUUGAUAAGCCGGUUGUGAAAGCCCCGGGCUCAACCUGGGAACGGCAUCCGGAACUGUCAAGCUAGAGUGCAGGAGAGGAAGGUAGAAUUCCCGGUGUAGCGGUGAAAUGCGUAGAGAUCGGGAGGAAUACCAGUGGCGAAGGCGGCCUUCUGGACUGACACUGACACUGAGGUGCGAAAGCGUGGGUAGCAAACAGGAUUAGAUACCCGAGUAGUC